rnacentral:rRNA from 1 species
AUUGAACGCUGGCGGCAGGCCUAACACAUGCAAGUCGAACGAGUGGCGGACGGGUGCGUAAUGUCUGGGAAACUGCCUGAUGGAGGGGGAUAACUACUGGAAACGGUAGCUAAUACCGCAUAACAUCAGAUGUGCCCAGAUGGGAUUAGCUAGUUGGUGGGGUAACGGCUCACCAAGGCGACGAUCCCUAGCUGGUCUGAGAGGAUGACCAGCCACACUGUAACUAGGACACGGGCCAGACGUCUACGGGAGGCAGCAUUGGGGAAUAUUGCACAAGGGGCUCAAGCCUGAUGCGGCCAUGCCGCGUAUAUGAAGAAGGCCUUCGGGUUGUAAAGUACUUUCAGGUGUGAGGCGUUACCCGCAGAAGAAGCACCGGCUAACUCCGUGCCAGCCGCCGCGGUAAUUC